AACGUCUUGCUGAAAGGACGUCCCAAGUGUUUUAAUGGGCUCUUUCGUCAGUUUUAAUACUUGUUUAAUUCUCAUCUAGUCAUGAUUUUAGAGCUGCGUUGUCGUAUCUCGACGGCCGAUUUUCCUGCCAAGAUGAUGCAAAAGGCGCCUUCUUACUACAACAUUGAGCGGUGCAGGGGAUCCAUCUGAUGUAUUACUCCGGGGAGGAUAUCACAUAGGGUUUUGACGUGCCUGAAGACAUGGUCUCAUAAUCAAGGGGGGCUCGUGGCUCGUCCCUAGAAAGGUCUAUGCUCCAGAAUCCGUAAGGGUGGAAGGGUGGGCGGAAACUCCUUCAGGGAAGGGGCAGCUCGCUUCAGCCCCGAGUAAUGCUUCGUCAGCCCUUUCAUUGACUCGCCUCUCUCGUCGCUGAGCUGAUGGAGGGUGGAUCUUGCCUCAGGUGCGACCUUCUCAGAGCUCAGGUUCUGAACGUUCUCAAUGGUCAGUACUGGUGCCGGAAGACGCCAUGUUUGGGGAGAAAAUUGUCUAAUAUGUGGCCACCAGUCUCCCAAAAACAUCUAGUCUACUGUCGAUUAAUUGGAGGAAACCCCAGUCAAUAGGAAAGGACCACUUCGUGUUUCUGCCGCCUCACCGGUGUAAUUUAUUGAAACGACAGACAUUUAUUUGUCUUGUAAAAUCAAUUUACACAUGCUGAAAAUGUGCUCAGUGGCUUUAACUAAUCCGAAUGCAAAACAGCCCGAGCUUGACCCGUAAACAGUAUCGCUCUGGAUCUCAAGUAGCACCGUGCGCUCAAAGAAAGCAAGCCAAUUUUUAUUUUGCUGGCCUAGAUAUUUUAAUCAUUCUGUUUACUAUUUCAAAAGAUAAAAGAUAAUGUAAAGUUGAAUGAUGCCUAUUUUGGGACCGCUUAAUAAUGCUCUCCAUAUGAAUAAAAAUCUAUCAGUGUUUCCAAAAGGA